rnacentral:misc_RNA from 1 species
UCCAGGGCGCCCUGGA